rnacentral:pre_miRNA from 1 species
CUAGAGGUGGGGCGCGCGGCAGGGAGGGGCGGGGCCGUCGCGGAGCCACGGUUAGUCUCGCGCGGCGGUCGUGAGCGCGUGAGUUAUCCAGUGCGG